UUCGAAAGUUCGUAUUCGAUAGCGAGUACCUCGAUCCGAAUACAAAAUAAAAUACAUGAAUAUCGAAAUGUAUUUGUGCUUUAGUUAGGAAUAAAAUUAUACCAAACAUGUUUUUUAUAAGUGAACUAGUAACCGGGCCACGGGUUGCUGUGGUUAAGGUUGUCACUAAUUAUUGGAAAAUAUAGUCAAUAUCAAACAUUUUUUGGCAAACUUUGUCGGAAAUCACCAGGCAGGUCUAACCGACUGGACAGACAGAUGGAAAUUGCGACUAAUAUUUCAAAUAUCCUACCUCUCAAGUUGGAUGAAACACACGUAAUAAAAUCGGUUCAGUCGUUUAGGCGUGAAUCAAGGACAAACAAUGUGACAUGGAAUUUAUAUAUAUAAAUAUAUAAGGUAAAAUUAUAAUUUGUACUGACGAAAAUCCCAAUAAAAGUUUUAAAACAACCCUUUAGAAAAUUGCUUGUGUACUAUUAUACGGUUGAAUUGGUGAGUUUGAAUCACCAAUUGAAUUGAGAAUUUUGAUCUGACCUACAAACAAACGGCAGCCACAUCGGCAGUUUACAGUACUAAAUUCCCAAUUAUGUAUAAUAUGUUUAGCUAUUUAUAUGUGUUAAUUAGAAUUUAGCUAUCUAAUUGGAUAAAACGUUUUGAAACAUUCAAGUCAAAGUGGAAGUGAUUUGGUCUUAUCAGCAUUUGUUAAGGAAACGUUAUUAAGCUUUUCUAGGUACGUAAUAAAAAAUAUAUUAUAGUUUUCGCUUUAAAAAUUUACUCAUAAAAAUGAUGUUUAGUAAAAUAUGGGGACGACCAUGAAUUGGUGAAGAAUACAAGACGUGUCGGAUUAUUGAUUUUAAACUUUGGGAUAUUAGACAAAUUAAAUGCAUUUUUAUAAAGCAGUAUAGUUUAAUAGCAUACCUUGCAAUCCUUCGUACUCGUUUGCCAUAUGCGAAUAGAGCGAUCAUUUGAACAAGAAGCAAA